rnacentral:rRNA from 1 species
AUUGAACGCUGGCGGCAGGCCUACCACAUGCAAGUCGAGCGAGCGGCGGCCGGGUGAGUCAUGUAUGGGGACUGCCCGAUAGAGGGGGAUAACUACUGGACACGGUAGCUAAUACCGCAUACUAUCGGAUAACCCAUAUGGGAUUAGCUAGUAGGUGAGGUACUGGCUCACCUAGUCGACGAUCCCUAGCUGGUCUGAGAGGAUGAUCAGACACAUUGGAACUGAGGCACGGCCCAGACUCCUACGGAGGCAGCAGUGGGGAAGAUUGCACAAUGGGCGCAAGCCUGAUGCAGCCGUGCCGCGGGUAUGAAAAAGGCCCUAGGGUUGUAAAGUACUUUCAGUCGGGAGGCGUGACCGACAGAAGAAGCACCGGCUAACUCCGUGCCAGCAGCCGCGGUAAUUC